AAGUGGAUUAGUGGCGCACGGGUGAGUAAGGCGUAGUUAAUCUGCCCUACACUGGGGGACAACAGUUGGAAACGACUGCUAAUACCCCAUACUCCUACUUAACAUAAGUUGAGUAGGGAAAGUUUUUCGGUGUAGGAUGAGACUAUAUAGUAUCAGCUAGUUGGUAAGGUAAUGGCUUACCAAGGCUAUGACGCUUAACUGGUCUGAGAGGACGAUCAGUCACACUGGAACUGAGACACGGUCCAGACUCCUACGGGAGGCAGCAGUAGGGAAUAUUGCGCAAUGGGGGAAACCCUGACGCAGCAACGCCGCGUGGAGGAUGACACUUUUCGGAGCGUAAACUCCUUUUCUUAGGGAAGAAUU
rnacentral:rRNA from 1 species